GGAUCUGAAGGGAGUUUUGUGGAUUUAUGGAUGUGGUUUAUAAAAUUUAUUUAUUUUUAUUUCAUUUGGUAUAGUAGAUUAUGAUAUAUUCUAUUAGACAAGCUCAUUGACAAGACUUUAAAAGUCAUUGAGUUUACGCGGUGAAGGAGAAGAAGAAGAAUAAAUGAACAAGAAAAUUAUUAAAUUUAAGAAUGUUUGUAACCCGCAAUCUCAACCAUUUUUUAUAAUUAAAUAACAUAUUGAUUUAAAGUGACAUGACAUACCACGUGAACUUCCCGUUACUUAAAUAUAACGUUAAAGAUCAAGAGUGUUGGCGAUAUAAAUCUUGAAAUGAUUCUUUAAUAUAGCUAGGGUUUAUUUUUCUUAAUUCACCUCGAUUCAUUAUUUAAUUACAAUGUAAGGAUCCCCGGAAAAAAGAGAUUUGGAUCCUCUCAUACCAUUUCUGUGUUUCCAUCACGUUCUAUUAUCAAACUGUAUCUAUUAUUCUCUCUCCUAUUAGUUUUUGGUUAGUUGAUAAUCAACAGUUGGAUUGGAAAAAGAAGAAAGCGAGGAAUCAAAACAGCUGAAGAGGUUCCAAAUCCGGAAAAAAAAAGUCAGUGAGGUAACGCUGGCGUCCAAACCCUCGGCGGUAGAAGCACCGCCGCCAAUCUCAGCUUCAGAAACCUUUACAGUAAACUUGAUUAGCUAACUGAAGUUGGCUCUUUCCUUUUGGAUAUCCAACUGUCUCUACUCCAUUGACCUCGUUGCCGAUCCUUCUCUCACUCUAUUCCUCAUUUCGAUUAUAGAGCUUCCGAUCGUGAUCCUUCUCUUCAGUCGCUAUAGACAGAAUCGCCAACAAUGCUCGGUAAUGCGUCUUCAUUUCUCAAAUUCCAUUGUUCUUGUGAAUAUUCUAGUUUUUUUUCUCCCUUUUCUCUGUUUUCAUUUGAUGAAUUCUGUUCUAUGCAAUACCUACGAGCCGCGAGAGGUAUUCUAGGAGUGCCAGUAGGCUAGUUCAAACUUCUGUUUCACAUUUUUGCAAUUGUUCGUGAAAUCAAGAAAAGAAACAGAUACGGAACAUGUCAGGCAACCAACCAUCACGCAUCAGACAGGGUAGGGAGACCCAGACUGCGUCGGUUAGACGCGAGCGGGCGGCGGCGCAGCUGGCGUCGACACAGGGACGGGGGCAGGGCCGGGGACGACGUGUGCGAGUUCCCGUGGGCGAGGGAGAGGGUACAUCUGCUUCAGGAUCUAGGAGUCGGCUGGCUUAGGUAUCUUCUUCCCUCCAGCGAGAGGAGGAGGAGGAGGAGGAGGAUGAGGAGGAGGUGGCGGCAGUGCCCUACCACGAGCCGGAGGGGGUACCGGAUGUUGACCCUCCAGCCGGGGAGGAGGAUGAGCAGGAGGACAGCUAUCCGGGAGGGUCCUUUGACACUUCCGUGCUGAUUAACUACCACGAUCACGUCGCUCGGCGUAUCUGGGAGAGAGAGGAGAGAGAGCCGUUGAAAAUGGUGAACCACGCCCGGAAGAUUUUCAGUCUGUUUAAACCAGCAGCUGAGUGGUUUAACGACCAUGUGCGAGGUUCAGGGCUUAGCGGGCUCUGCAUGACGGGGUACACCACCAUCAGCACCGGCAUGCAGGGGGCAUUUGUGGAGCGCUGGCACAAGGAGACGUCCUCUUUCCACUUGCCGGUUGGGGAGAUGACGAUCACCUUGCAUGACGUGCAGUGUCUUCUCCACCUGCCGAUUAGGGAGGACUGGUAGCAUCAUGUGGUACCGCAGGAGUACCGUCUCACUCGGGUCACACAGGACUGACACAGUGAGGAGGGAUACGUCACAUGGUUCUAUCGGGUGUCACAUCCUCUGUUGAGACCCGACGUUCCCGGCGCUCCUAGGCCAGCACACGAGGAGAUCCUGGAGAACCAGCAGGCCGAGGAUGACCACGCUAUUGAUCUCAUGCCGAUCUGCCAGCGGAUAGAGAUGCUUGGGCGGGACGCGUUGGAUCGAGGUGUCGUUCAUCAGGGUGGUCCAGAGGCAGUUGCCGUGAUGGAGAUGAUCGUCACUGAUGCGGGUCGUGCGGCGACAUACAGGCGGCAGAGGAGGUCCCUGGGAGAGAGGGUUAGGCACACCCAGUAGUGGUCAGAUUUAUUUAUUUUUUGUUUUCAGAUUGUAUCUUUAGCACACUAUUUUUGCUGGGUUUUUCUCUUAUUUGCAUUUUAUCAUCUUGAAUAAAUUACCUAUAACUUAUCGGGGUAAUUAAGAGAAAAAACUAUUUAAUGUUGUUAGAAAAUAAUUAGAUAAUUCUCAUGUAUCUUAAAUUUUGGCUGGGUAUCCAUCUCUUAGACAAAUUUUAUUAUUGUUUUAAAAUAAAUUGAUAUUAAAAAUGACAUAAUAUUACGUAAUUAGAUAACUCCAAUGCACGAUAUUGCUCACCAUAUAAUUAUCAAUACAUUAUUAAAAAAAUCAAUUCAAUUUAAAAUUUAAAGAACUACAUAUUUAGUCGGGUGCUGGCUCCACCUAUGGUGAUGGUACAUACUACAUAGAAUAGUU